CAUUCUUCUACACUUUAUUAUCAUCUUGUAUACACAAUUAUAAACUAUCGAAGCGGUGCUGCAAACAGAAAACACAUACUCCGAUGACACCCACCGCCAUGCCGUCCUUGAGAAACAUCACGGCUUCUAGGGAUCGAUUUGGGAUACUAGAAAAGCAUAAAGACUAUUCGUGCUAAAGCCUCUCGAAAAAAGCAAGACACAAUACAGAAACUUAGGGAAAAAGCUUCAAAUAGAAAUCCAGAUGAAUUUUCCUUUAAGAUGACUGCAUCAAGACUUGUUGAUGGAGUUCAUAAGAAAUUUCAAGAUAUAAUACACCAUGUGACACAAAACAAUGAGAUGAAACCAAUUCUUCAAAAGAUUGAUGCAAGGAAAAAGGAAAAUUAAUAGUUCAAAUAAAGAGUUGAAAGAAAGCAAGACUAGACUUAAAGAGUUAGAGAAUAUCUAUAUGAAUAAGACAUUGCAGAUGGAGACUCAGGUAUUGAUUAUUUUUUUUUAACACUAUUACAAAAAACUUCUUUUAUCUUGCUUGAAAAAGAGGUUUUACCUCGGUUUCACAGACGAGGUAACAAAUGACGGCAUGAAAAGUACACACUUUGUUAGACUAUAGUACUGAUUUAGAAGGAGGUUGAAUAGAUCACGUAUUUAAAAUUUUGGUGCUUUUUAAAAUUAUUUUUAAAGAUUGCGAAAUCUCCCUAGACCACGAUCGUCUAAACGAUCUGUUACUGGAAAGAUCGGAUAUGCGGGAAACCUAAUGCAAUGACUAAGAUAAAGCUAAUCAACAACAAUCUUAAUCAAUCGAUCAAAUACACAAAUCCUUGAUAUAGCUAUCACCAAUGAUGAAUUAAAACAAUGAGAAAACAAGCAAAAUAUUGAUAAACUGGUGUGAAGUUAAUUUUAGCAAACACUUGGUGUACACACUACACCAAGUUUUAAUUUAACUAGAAUUAAUUGUGUAAAAUUUUCCUUGUUUACAACCAAAGUGAUUGCAGCAAUUUAUCAAACAACUUUAAUGCACAACAGUUAAGCGACAUGAAGUUACCAAUUAGUUUCACACAAGAUUCAAUUUAUGCAGAAAUUAAAGAGUUAGAGAAAGAGAGGACAACACCAAAUUUAUUUAGGCAGUUCCCCUUUCGUCCUCGCUUCGGGUACGUCUUCCCCCAAUUCUAAAACUAGAAUUGAGAUAUUUAUUAUCAAUUGCAAAGUUUAUACAAGAGAAGAAAUAAUCAUCACCAAGCAAACUUAAGUGUUGUUGUAGAGCCUAUUCACUUCUCUCCCAUUGGUUCAAGUUGAACUAAGUGCUUCAAACGUUCCGAACAACCUCUGAUUGUAGCUACCUUAUUGCAAGAACUCAAAGUUCUCCAAAAUUCUAGCUCGGCUGAUUUCGAUCGUGACACGCUUGAACCCAAACUUUUCUUCAUAAUCCUCUGGUUACUGUUACUCGUUUGAAUGAACACACUGUUCUUCAAACCUUUCACUCGGCUGAAUCUAUGAAGCAAAGAUUUAUGCAAAAAAAAAACAAAUCUUGGAGGACAAAAUCCUCAAAUUUUAUUCAAGAAAACCCCACUAAAAAUCUCUACCCAAACCAAGUUACGCAAUCCUAUUUGGACGUUAUCACCACGCAAUGCACUAUGAUCAACAAAAAUUGUUAUGUGUAGUUGUUGAAAUAUGCAAUGAAGAAUGAAG